GAUGAAGAACGUAGCGAAAUGCGAUACGUAAUGUGAAUUGCAGAUCUCUCAGUGAACCAUCGAAUUUUUGAACGCACAUAGCGCCCCUUGGUAUUCCGAGGGGCAUGCCUGUUCGAGCGUCAUUAUAACCCCUCAAGCUCAGCUUGGUGUUGGGGCCUGCUGCACUGGCAGCCCUUAAAAUCAGUGGCGGCGCCAUCUGGCUCUAAGCGUAGUAAUUCUUCUCGCUAUGGAGUCCUGGUGGAUGCUUGCCAUCAACCCCCAAUUUUUCUAUGGUUGACCUCGGAUCAGGUAGGGAUACCCGCUGAACUUAAGCAUAUCAUAAGCGGAGGA
rnacentral:misc_RNA from 1 species